rnacentral:tmRNA from 1 species
GGGGCCGUUUAGGAUUCGACGGGGUUUUGAGAGUUCAAGACUCGCAGGUAGAAGACCGCCUCAAGGCUUAACCAAAAAUGAAACGACAACACUGAAACUGUCAUUAUGAUCCAUCCCGCUUUUGCUACUUUUAUGGCUGAGAGGGUUGCCGCCUGAUUGGUGGGGAUCUUCCAAAACGACGUACCGGCUGGAUGUAGGUGAACGUCUGAGGUCAAAAAUUUAUCCAGCAGUUGCAGUUUUCCUUGUUACUGUGAAAAGAGACAAGGUGGUGGAGGUGUGCAAACCAUUGUACGCCCUGGGCCAGAUUUGACGGUAUCGCAAGCGCCCGCUGUAAGGCAUCGCUGAAAAAUCGUCUAUUGCGUAAGAAGGUCUUGUUCAUGUAGGAAUUUCGGACAGGGGUUCGAUUCCCCUCGGCUCCACCA